rnacentral:rRNA from 1 species
UACGGGGGGGGGCAAGCGUUGUUCGGAAUUACUGGGCGUAAAGGGCUCGUAGGCGGCCAACUAAGUCAGACGUGAAAUCCCUCGGCUUAACCGGGGAACUGCCUCUAAUACUGGAUGGCUUGAGUUUGGGAGAGGGAUGCGGAAUUCCAGGUGUAGCGGUGAAAUGCGUAGAUAUCUGGAGGAACACCGGUGGCGAAGGCGGCAUCCUGGACCAACACUGACGCUGAGUGAGCGAAAGCCAGGGGAGCAAACGGG